rnacentral:rRNA from 1 species
CAGUAGCCGCGGUAAUACGGAGGGCGCGAGCGUUACCCGGAUUUACUGGGCGUAAAGGGCGUAUAGGCGGCCUGGGGCGUCCCAUGUGAAAGGCCACGGCUCAACCGUGGAGGAGCGUGGGAUACGCUCAGGCUAGAGGGUGGGAGAGGGUGGUGGAAUUCCCGGAGUAGCGGUGAAAUGCGCAGAUACCGGGAGGAACGCCGAUGGCGAAGGCAGCCACCUGGUCCACUUCUGACGCUGAGGCGCGAAAGCGUGGGGAGCAAACCGGAUUAGAUACCCCCGUAGUCCCUGUCUCUUAUAC